AUUGAACGCUGGCGGCAGGCCUAACACAUGCAAGUCGAGCGAGCGGCGGACGGGUGAGUAAUGUCUGGGAAACUGCCUGAUGGAGGGGGAUAAAUACUGGAAACGGGAGCUAAUACCGCAUACGAUCAGAUGUGCCCAGAUGGGAUUAGCUAGUAGGUGGGGUAACGGCUCACCUAGGCGACGAUCCCUAGCUGGUCUGAGAGGAUGAACAGCCACACUGGAACUGAGCCACGGUCCAGACUCCUACGGGAGGCAGCAGUGGGGAAUAUUGCACAAUGGGCGCAAGCCUGAUGCAGCCAUGCCGCGUGUGUUAAGAAGGCCUUCGGGUUGUAAAGCACUUUCCGCGGGGAGGCGUUACCCGCAGAAGAAGCACCGGCUAACUCCGUGCCAGCAGCCGCGGUAAUAC
rnacentral:rRNA from 1 species